rnacentral:rRNA from 1 species
AGAAAGGCGGAGUAUAAACUAAUGGAUAGGUUUUUUCCACUCAUUGGUACAAACUCCAAAACUUCUUCCAAAUUCGACCUCAAAUCAGGUAGGACUACCCGCUGAACUUAAGCAUAUCAAUAAGCGGAGGAAAAGAAACCAACAGGAUUGCCUUAGUAGCGGCGAGUGAAGCGGCAAAAGCUCAAAUUUGAAAUCUGGCACUUUCAGUGUCCGAGUUGUAAUUUGAAGAAGGUAUCUUUGGGUCUGGCUCUUGUCUAUGUUUCUUGGAACAGAACGUCACAGAGGGUGAGAAUCCCGUGCGAUGAGAUGUCCCAGACCUAUGUAAAGUUCCUUCGAAGAGUCGAGUUGUUUGGGAAUGCAGCUCUAAGUGGGUGGUAAAUUCCAUCUAAAGCUAAAUAUUGGCGAGAGACCGAUAGCGAACAAGUACAGUGAUGGAAAGAUGAAAAGAACUUUGAAAAGAGAGUGAAAAAGUACGUGAAAUUGUUGAAAGGGAAGGGCUUGAGAUCAGACUUGGUAUUUUGUAUGUUACUCUCUCGGGGGUGGCCUCUACAGUUUACCGGGCCAGCAUCAGUUUGAGCGGUAGGAUAAGUGCAAAGAAAUGUGGCACUGCUUCGGUAGUGUGUUAUAGUCUUUGUCGAUACUGCCAGCUUAGACUGAGGACUGCGGCUUCGGCCUAGGAUGUUGGCAUAAUGAUCUUAAGUCGCCCG